rnacentral:tRNA from 1 species
UUGGUAGAGCACCUGGUUUGGGACCAGGGGGUCGCAGGUUCGAAUCCUGUUUUCCCGACUGGAUACAAAAAGUU